CCUACGGGAGGCUGCAGUGGGGAAUUUUGGGCAAUGGGCGAAAGCCUGACCCAGCAACGCCGCGUGGAGGACGAAAUCCCUCCGGGAUGUAAACUCCGAAAGUCAGGGAAGAAAUGUCCUCGGGGAAUAUCCGAGGGAGAUGACGGUACCUGAAAUAAGCCCCGGCUAACUACGUGCCAGCAGCCGCGGUAAUACGUAGGGGGCAAGCGUUGUUCGGAAUUACUGGGCGUAAAGGGCGCGUAGGCGGCACGGCAAGUCGGGAGUGAAAGCCCGGG
rnacentral:rRNA from 1 species